rnacentral:misc_RNA from 1 species
AAGUCGUAACAAGGUAUCCGUAGGUGAACCUGCGGAUGGAUCAUUAAACAUAUCUACGUAUCAACCAAUCGUGAACUCUCGUUUUUUCCAACGUGCUCUGUUUCGAUAGGUUUUUUGUUUGGGGAGUCCCGGCCUCUGAGCUGUCCGAGCUGUAAAAGGCUUUGGCGGUGUACGACGUGCUUGGCUUCUUAGGGCAGAAGACUUGUUGAGACAUCAUGGAGGAAACUUAUUAACCCAUUGUAUUAUCAUCCCCAGUUAUUUUAUUCUUUGUCGCGGCCUAACGGCGGACUUUCUAGUAAGAAAUUUUUGUACAACUCUUAACGAUGGAUAUCUAGGCUCUCG